GGAAUAUUGGUCAAUGGGCGGGAGCCUGAACCAGCCAAGUCGCGUGAGGGAUGACGGCCCUAUGGGUUGUAAACCUCUUUUGCCGGGGAGCAAAGUGCCGCACGUGUGCGGUUUGGAGAGUACCCGGAGAAAAAGCGUCGGCUAACUCCGUGCCAGCAGCCGCGGUAAUACGGAGGAUGCGAGCGUUAUCCGGAUUUAUUGGGUUUAAAGGGUGCGUAGGCGGACGCUUAAGUCAGCGGUAAAAUACGGGGGCUCAACCUCCGCCCGCCGUUGAAACUGACGGUCUUGAGUGGGCGAGAAGUAUGCGGAAUGCGUGGUGUAGCGGUGAAAUGCAUAGAUAUCACGCAGAACUCCGAUUGCGAAGGCAGCAUACCGGCGCCCAACUGACGCUGAAGCACGAAAGCGUGGGUAUCGAAC
rnacentral:rRNA from 1 species